UCGGUCGUUGUUGAAGAACAGCUACCAUCAAUUUCCAGAUGAGACAACCCUGAGGACUGUUUGUUUCAGAAUCGAAACUAAUACGUUUCUGUCUUGGGUAUAAAUUCUCUGAGCAACCCCAUCAUUGUGCUUAAAUCCAUCUCCAUCUCCGUUUUCGCAGAAAACAGAAAAAGUUAAGAUUAUGUCUUAACAGGCUUUCAAGUUCAUAGCUAAGUGUCGGCUCAGGUGGUUUAUCACAUGCCUAUAUACAACAUCCAUCCCUACGAUGCAAUAUUCCUGAAUCCAGGGGGUUGUUCUAUGAUGAUGCGAACACAUUGCUAAUUUCUACCGCAGCCAAUCAGGUCUUUUCAUGGCAAACAUCUCCCUUUAACGCAGAUGUGUCUCCUUCAGUUGAUUCUAUAAGUGAAAGGCCUAUCCUAUUUAUCAAAUUCUAUGUUAAUAAAAAAGCCAUAGCUGUCCAAAGAUCCGAGUGUGAAAUACAGAUUUUUAUCGAGAAACCAAGCAGAUACUUACCCACAAAUGCAGGGCAGGAUCAGAGAGCGUUCUCGGAUUCUUUUGGAGUGACUCUCCACUAUGUGACCUUGCAAUUGUAAAGACCAGAUGGGGCUCUGUUGGCAUGGACUUGCUUGCUUGUAAUAAUUUGAUUGCAGUGGUAGCGUUGUCUCAUGUUUGCCUAAAGUCUAAGCACGAUGGAUUCGAUCCACAAGCCCACAAUGAAGCUAAACACUGAAAGAAAACAUAUAUCUUUUGAAACAUAACUGUUAAAUGCUGAAUUUUAUGAAGUUAUAACAUAAAGUGAUUAA